GAGGUUCUGAAGGACUACAGGAGCCUGAUCGAGACGGUACGCCACACAUCGGACAACAUCUGUCGGACAACAGCUCCAAGACGUUACACACCAGAUGACCACUGGAGGGACCGGCCAACACAGGAUAGACAAUCCAGUCUGAUGUCCUUCACACUCAGCCUCUCAUUGAUGCUGCUCCUCCCCCCCUCCUCUACCUGUGUCAUCUAGUUAAUGUGGCCUGUGUUUGUUGGCUACUUUCAGCCCUUUGGUUCAUCCUUCAUUUACCCUUUACACAUUGAGUCCACCUUUGUGCCAAGCCCCAGACUUGUGGCGGAGCUGGUAAUCUGAGGCCCAAGACAGGUCGACAGAGUGAAAGUUAGGUUGAUGCUCUAUCAGGUCCUCCAUGGGCAGUUAUUGCCCUGCAGUGCAGUGGUCUUGUCUCUGCCCAGGUCCCCAUCUCUAAUGGCUCCAUCUGAGUUGGUUGUCCACCGAGUUGUAACUGGCACAUUCACCAAAGGUCCCCCUAUCAUUUUAUUGACUGUGUUUUGGCUCUACAUCCCAUCCUAAAGCAGCUUUGUCCACUUGACUUAUUUUUGCUACUUUGUAUUGUUUAACCUUGUUUUUUGUAUUUCAGCACAUUUUAGGUUUUUUAUUUUAGGAUUUUUUAUGCCCUCUAUAUUUCAAUCAGUCUGUCUUUUUUCCUUUUGUACAGUAUUUUAUUUACUAACUUCUAUUUAAACUUUGUUCUGUGCCCUUUAUGGUCUUGUCUAAGCUAUUCUAAGACAGAACAAAAUAAAGUUGUGAAGCAUAAAAGCUGCAUGUCUCAGAUUAUUCUUCCUAUUGCCCUUUAGUGUUUGUAUUUCUGCUGUUUGCCUUUUAUGCCUCUGCCAGUUAAGUCCCUUUUUUGUGCCCUGUUGUAGUGAUGGUUUUUACAUCACCUGUUCCUUGUGGUGUUAGAUUAAAUUUGUAAUACCCUUUAUGCCUUAAUGCUC